UUAUAAAUGAGGCCCCAGAUCUGUAUGGUCAUAGACUGGUCUUCCUCCCCUACUAGCUUGUUCGAGUCAAGCUGCAGUUCAUUGUUACCUUUUGUGUGCAACAAUGGAACCCAGCAGAAUCCUGAAUAUGUUUUUGUGAAUGAAAGAAUGAACUGGUCCAGCGCUCAGAGAUACUGCAGACAGAACUUCACAGACCUGGCCACAGUGAGGAACGACACAGACUGGAGCAACAUUCAGAAUGUGGUGUCUCCUCAACAGAGGUCAUGGACCGGUUUCUAUAGAGAUUCAAACAUUUCCUGGUCUGACGGGACCAACUUCUUUUUCUAUCAAAAGCCGUUUUAUUUUUAUCUUUCGCCUGACGUAACCCGUGCCAGAUGUGCUUUUCAACAUGGGGAAAUCACAGCUCACUGGCAUUUUGAUAAUUGUGAAAUUAAAUUCCCUUUUAUCUGCCAUGAUCUUCUUAAAGGUGAUUUCAGCAUUACAUCAUUCAAAAUGAGAUAACCUUUAUACCAAUGUGUACGUCUCUCUUCUUGAUGUAUGUUUUCAGUGUUGUGACACUAACUUGUGUUUUCCUUCAGUAAGAAGAAAUGUAAAGCUGAGACUGAAGCUGGAGAACUUGGACAAUCUGAACGAUCCUGCUGUUUUAGCAGAACUGCUGAUGAAGCUUCAGGAGAAACUGGAGGAGAACGGAGUGAAUGGAGUGGAGGUGAAGAGAAAACAGCAGACUGAUGGAAAAGUCUGCAAAAAGGAGGAGAAAAAGAAAACAGAGCUCUGAAAAAUACUUACUUUUUACUAAAUGUGGAAUAAUUUGAAAAAUUUCUGAAUUUAAUGUUUAAACUUGUAAAGAAAUGUUUAAAUGUGUUCUGAAUGAGGUUUGUUGGAUUAUCUGCUGCAUGUUUAUAUCAUUUAAACUGCAGAGUAAUAUUUUCCUUGUGUGCAGAAAGUUAUUUUCAUUCAGAUGUUUUCUUUAUUUUUAUGUUUUUAUAUACUGACCUUUAUUCCCAGGAUUAAAAUCUAAAAUUCUGAAAGUUCUGAAUUUCUUUUUAAAAAGCUUCUCUGUUUAAUUUUAUUUAAAA